ensembl:snoRNA SNORA63 Small nucleolar RNA SNORA63
UAGCAGGAUUCAGACUUAGGAUAGAUGUUCAGUGCUGUGUUUUCAUUCCCUCCUGUUCAAAAUAGGAUUGCUUCUUCAAUGUGUCGAUUGGCUGUAUCCCUGUAGGAGACAGGUUUGCUUGAACUCCUAUAU